CCUACGGGUGGCUGCAGUGGGGAAUUUUGGACAAUGGGCGCAAGCCUGAUCCAGCCAUUCCGCGUGAGUGAAGAAGGCCUUCGGGUUGUAAAGCUCUUUCGCAAGGGAAGAAAACUUAUCCUCUAACAUAGGAUGAGGUUGACGGUACCUUGAUAAGAAGCACCGGCUAACUACGUGCCAGCAGCCGCGGUAAUACGUAGGGUGCGAGCGUUGCUCGGAAUUACUGGGCGUAAAGCUUGAGCACACUGUUGAAAUCCCUGGGCUCAACCUAGGAACUGCGUUUGAAACUGCAAGACUAGAAUAUGUCAGAGGGGGGUAGAAUUCCACGUGUAGCAGUGAAAUGCGUAGAGAUGUGGAGGAAUAUCAAUGGCGAAGGCAGCCCCCUGGGAUAAUAUUGACGCUCAUGCACGAAAGCGUGGGGAGCAAACAGGAUUAGAUACCCGAGUAGUC
rnacentral:rRNA from 1 species